UACGAAGGGGGCUAGCGUUGUUCGGAAUCACUGGGCGUAAAGGGCGCGUAGGCGGCCGAUCAAGACGGGGGUGAAAGCCUGUGGCUCAACCACAGAAUUGCCUUCGAUACUGUUUGGCUUGAGACCGGAAGAGGUUAGUGGAACUGCGAGUGUAGAGGUGAAAUUCGUAGAUAUUCGCAAGAACACCAGUGGCGAAGGCGGCUGACUGGUCCGGUUCUGACGCUGAGGCGCGAAAGCGUGGGGAGCGAACAGG
rnacentral:rRNA from 1 species